rnacentral:rRNA from 1 species
AAUAUUGGACAAUGGGGGCAACCCUGAUCCAGCCAUGCCGCGUGUGUGAAGAAGGUCUUCGGAAUGUACAGCACUUUACGUUGGGAGGAAGGGCUUUAGGUUAAUACCCUGACGUUUUGACGUUACCGACAGAAUAAGCACCGCCUAACUUCCUGCGUACAGCCGCGGUAAUACGAAGGGUGCAAGCGUUAAUCGGAAUUACUGGGCGUAAAGCGCGCGUAGGUGGUUCAGUAAGAUGGGUGUGAAAUCCCCGGGCUUAACCUGGGAACUGCUUUCAUAACUGCUGAGCUAGAGUACGGUAGAGGGUAGUGGAAUUUCCUGUGUAGCGGUGAAAUGCGUAGAUAUAGGAAGGAACACCAGUGGCGAAGCGACUACCUGGACUGAUACUGACACUGAGGUGCGAAAGCGUGGGGAGCAAAC